rnacentral:lncRNA from 1 species
CUUCCCCAGGAAUCUCCAUAUAACACCGAGAAGAAAAACCACCCAUCAAGCUCCUGUGGCCCAAGUCUCCAGAGAGUCUCCCUUUUCCCAUCUCAGUGCAGGGGCAAAUCAAUUUUACAGGACCAGGAACUGUCUUUCUAUGCUAUCCGAUCUCCUAUUAAUGACAUCCCCCUUUUAUUCAGUCGCUCUAACUGCAAGCUAAGCAUAUUCUCUGUUAAAUCCUCAAGUAACUCUCUGGGGUUGUAAAGUUUCAUUAUAAUUUUACAGAGACUGAAACCUAGAGAAGUGGGCUCCCUAGCCAGUAAAUGGCAGAUCUGGGCUUCAUGUCACAUUCUGGAUGAAACCUUGAAGCCCAUGGUUUUAACCAAAAUGCUUUGCUAGAAAAUGAUAUAUUGUAUUGAUCCCAAAUCCGCCUUUUCUAUAACUCCUGAUGAACAGCCCCCACUCUGUUCUCCAGGGAGACGACAACAACUCGGACCCUUUCCUUAUGACAUUAUCUUCCAAUACCGGAAGACAGAAACCACGUGAGUCUCACCUGCCCAGCCUUCUUCCUCCUCAGUCAAUCACAGCAGGUGCAAAAGGUACCCAGAAGAGAAUGCAUGUUCAUCUGACUCAAGAUGAAGCCACUGAAUGUUUCAUUUCACUGGAACCAUGAAGCUUCCAUUCUGCACCGAGCUACAUGCUGAGUCCCUAAUAGUCACACAGGAAGGCAAAAGUACCUGGGAGUGUGUUACCCAGGGCCUCAGGCGGCAGAUAUCCUGUUUACACAAGGACAAUCUAUGCAGCACCUCAGGGAACCCACCCGGCAAGCCUGGCACUAACCAGCAGCCUUGCUGCACCCACACCCAGCACCUGAAGCCAAAAGAGCAACGCCUACUGGAGGAGAAAGAUGGCCAUUUGUUCCACCCCACCAGAGCAGCACUGGCCCCAGUACGCACACACUGAGUGCACACAGGGCAGCAGCAGGGAGCAUGGGGACCCAGGAGGCUACCUAGAGAGGCCCAGCUUGCAGCCUCUGCCCCAGCCAAACUGCAAAGCAGGGGUGGGGUCUCAUCCCACCUCCACCGC